GGCACUGUGGCUUAAUUGGUUAAAGCCCCUGUCUAGUAAACAGGAGCUCCUGGCUUCAAAUCUCAGUGGUGCCU